rnacentral:rRNA from 1 species
ACUCAAAUGAAUUGACGGGGGCCCGCACAAGCGGAGGAGCAUGUGGCUUAAUUCGAUGCAACGCGAAGAACCUUACCAGGGCUUGACAUGUAACUGCAAGUCCCGUGAAAGCGGGAUUCCUUCGAGGGUGUUACACAGGUGCUGCAUGGCUGUCGUCAGUUCGUGCCGUGAGGUGUUAGGUUAAGUCCUGCAACGAACGCAACCCUUGUGGUUAGUUGCUACUGCCGGUGAUGAAUCGGUAGGCACUCUAGCCAGACUGCCCGUUAGGGAGGAAGGUGGGGAUGACGUCAAGUCAGUAUGGCCUUUAUGCCCUGGGCUGCACACGUGCUACAAUGGCCGGUACAGAGGGAAGCAAGACCGCGAGGUGGAGCAAAUCCUUAAAAACCGGCCCCAGUUCAGAUUGAAGUCUGCAACUCGACUUCAUGAAGUUGGAUUCGCUAGUAAUGGCGCAUCAGCUACGGCGCCGUGAAUACGUUCCCGGGCCUUGCACACACCGCCCGU